GCAGCCGUGCCUGCAGCCCCUCCCCUCUCGUGCACGCUCUAAGUGCCUCCCCUCUCUCGUGCACGCGCUAGCUGCCAGAGCAUGUGAGAAAGUUGACCAUCUACUGCAGCUCUGUGAAAACAAUAUUUGGGAUGUGAUGACACUGUCGGCCAUAUAGCUCAAUAUCCAACAACUCAGCUCUCAACAUAUUGGACUGAGCUAGGUACCCCCACGAUACAAGUCAGGAGGAUCACACACUGUGGCAUAGUUCUUUUUUACCACCACAAGUGGACAACCGUGACAGGGCAAAUGAAGUGGGCCAAAACAUAUGGAGCAAGUCUUUAGUCUUUCUUAAGCCAAGGACGAUAAGCAGAACUACUACACCAGAUGGCAACAGCAACACAUUCACUUCAUUGACAGUUCAACUGCUUGCUCAGUAAGACUUUCCUUCCAGAUUGGCACAUAUUACAAGAAGAAGAAGCAUCAACGUGUGUGACAUGGUCAGCUGCAUGUCACCUGAGGAACCCCACAACAUAGAGGAAUACAGACAACACAGUCUGGCCGAUUCCUCACCACAAGAAAGAGAAGCAUCAAGCACCUAGUAGCUACCCACCUGAGAAUUCAAUCAUAAUAAUGAUAAUAAUAAAUGUACUUGUAACAACGA